UACGUAGGGCGCAAGCGUUAUCCGGAAUUAUUGGGCGUAAAGAGCUCGUAGGCGGUUUGUCGCGUCUGCCGUGAAAACUCGGGGCUCAACCCCGAGCCUGCAGUCGAUACGGGCAGACUAGAGUGCGGUAGGGGAGACUGGAAUUCCUGGUGUAGCGGUGAAAUGCGCAGAUAUCAGGAGGAACACCGGUGGCGAAGGCGGGUCUCUGGGCCGUAACUGACGCUGAGGAGCGAAAGCGUGGGGAGCAAACAGG
rnacentral:rRNA from 1 species